CAAAGCGACUCCCGCCUCUGGGGAGCUGCCACCAUCCAUGCGCUGCUGUCUCCGCUGAAACAUCCGCGGCGUCCGUCUGGCUGCAGGAUAUCCCAUUGCUGUACAAUGUUGCUCUGCUUUAACCGAAAACACUGCAGAUAGUUUUCUGUAUUCAUUUGCUGUUUUCACCGGGAAAACAGAGAGUCAGAAAUGUGGCCUGUCAGAGGCUUAAGAGCAGAGGCUUGAGGGUACUGAGUUUUGCAGAGCUGGUGACUUGAACCUACCAGACAUCUGUUGAGAAGUCAACAUAGCAGAGGAGGGGCAGUCUAGAAGGUUCUUGCAGUGUGUGGAAGAACAACUUUUUGUCACAGCUGAAUUUCAAAAUACUGUGAGUUGGAAGGAACUCACCAGGAUCAUUGCGUCCAGCUCUGCAAUGAAUGGCUUGUAUGGGCGUCGAACCUGUAACCUUGGCAUUCUUACCACCACGCUUUGAUGCCGGAUAUAUGCAUGCAAUUUUCCCUGCUCAGCUGGCUUCUGCUCUAUGUUCCUGUUAGCAACAAAUCAAAUUAAAUAAAUGGAACAUAGCACACAUUACUCUGAAUUUCAAGACAUAACAUUUCUUAGAAGUCUCUCAAAAGCUGACAGCAAUUCUUUUGUUAUACCAUGUCAAUAAGCCCCAAAAUUGCCUGGCACAAAAAUGCAUUAUAGAUUAGCAUAAGGACUAAAGAGAUGUUGCUGCAAAUUUCUGGUCUAAUUUCCUGUACAACACAGGAAAUUAUCCUUUCAUCCCAGCUUGUGUGUUUUUCUAAAAGCUAUGCUCCAAUUAAAAAUAAAAUGAGUCA